rnacentral:rRNA from 1 species
AUUGAACGCUGGCGGCAGGCCUAACACAUGCAAGUCGAACGAGUGGCGGACGGGUGAGAAAUGUCUGGGAAACUGCCCGAUGGAGGGGGAUAACUACUGGAAACGGUAGCUAAUACCGCAUAUCAUCGGAUGUGCCCAGAUGGGAUUAUCUAGUAGGUGGGGUAACGGCUCACCUGUGCGACGAUCCCUAGCCGGUUUGAGAGGAUGACCAGCCACAUGGGAACUGAGAAACGGUCCAGAAUCCUACGGGAGGCAGCAGUGGGGAAUAUUGCACAAUGGGCGCAAGCCUGAUGCAGCCAUGCCGCGUGUAUGAAGAAGGCCUUCGGGUUGUAAAGUACUUUCAGCGAGGAGGCGUUACUCGCAGAAGAAGCACCGGCUAACUCCGUGCCAGCAGCCGCGGUAAUAC